GACGAACGCUGGCGGCGUGCUUAACACAUGCAAGUCGAACGGAAAGGCCCUGCUUUUGUGGGGUGCUCGAGUGGCGAACGGGUGAGUAACACGUGCGUAACCUGCCCUUGACUUUGGGAUAACUUCAGGCAACUGGGGCUAAUACCGGUUAGGAGCUCCUUCUGCAUGGUGGGGGUUGGAAAGUUUCGGCGGUUGGGGAUGGACUCGCGGCUUAUCAGCUUGUUGGUGGGGUAGUGGCUUACCAAGGCUUUGACGGGUAGCCGGCCUGAGAGGGUGACCGGCCAAAUUGGGACUGAGAUACGGCCCAGACUCCUAAGGGAGGCAGCAGUGGGGAAUAUUGCACAAUGGGCGGAAGCCUGAUGCAGCAACGCCGCGUGCGGGAUGACGGCCUUCGGGUUGUAAACCGCUUUCGCCUGUGACGAAGCGUGAGUGACGGUAAUGGGUAAAGAAGCACCGGCUAACUACGUG
rnacentral:rRNA from 1 species